AGUGCGCCGCAUAAUCUAGGUGUCUUUUUUAGCUUUAUCGUGAAAACAAAAAUAGGUUAAAAAAGGUGAAACGUGAAACAGGUUAAAAGCCUGUACUGCCCCCGCAACGGUAACUGUGAGCAUCAACAAAAACCACUGUAUUUUUAUAAUAUGGGAAGGUGUUGAACUGCGAUGAACAGGAGUCCGGAGACCGGCCUAAGAUUAACUCUAGACU
rnacentral:ncRNA from 13 species